rnacentral:SRP_RNA from 1 species
UGGCGGGUCUCCUCGCAUGGUAAUUCGGAACACCGGGUCAGGGGCGGAAGCCAGCAGCCCACUCUGAUGAGCCAGUGCCGGGGGUUCGGCUCGCCACCUU